AAUGUACUCCCUCCGUCCGAGAAUACUUGUCAUCAAAAUGGAUAAAAAAAGAUGUAUCUAGAACUAAAAUACAUCUAGAUACAUCCCCUUUUAUCCAUUUUGAUGACAAGUAUUUCCGGACGGAGGGAGUACUAC
rnacentral:pre_miRNA from 1 species